ensembl:lncRNA
UGAAACCCGACAGGGCAGAGAGGAUAUGAUUGAUCACGACAGGGUACAGAGGGUAUAAUUGAUACCAACAGGGCAGUGAGGGAGGUAUUAAUACCGACAGGGCAGAGAAGGUAUGAUUGAUACCGACAGGGCAGAGAGGGUAUGAUUGAUACCGACAGGGCAGAGAGGGAGGUAUUGAUACCGACAGGGCAGAGAGGGAGGUAGUGAUACUGACAGGGCAGAGAGGGAGGUAUUGAUACCGACAGGGCAGAGAGGGUAUGAUUGAUACCGACAGGGCAGAGAGGGAGGUAUUGAUACCGACAGGGCAGAGAGGGAGGUAUUGAUACUGAUAGGGCAGAGAGGAGGUAUUGAUACUGACAGGGCAGAGAGGGAGGUAUUGAUACUGAUAGGGCAGAGAGGGAGGUAUUGAUACCGACAGGGCAGAGAGGGAGGUAUUGAUACUGAUAGGGCAGAGAGGGAGUGCUAAAAGAAAUAAUAACUUUCAAGGAAGAAGCAGGAGGCUGCAAUACAACUGUUUAAAGAGUCUGUCCAAGUAAAGGAGAGAAAAUGUAAAGGGGGAGAGGUGGUUUCUCUGGUUCUAUGAAGGGAGUGAACUUGAAAAAGGAAUGGAAUUUGGGGCGGUAGAGGACAGACUAGCAUAGCAUUCCUACUCCCUUGUGGGCUGAGGUAAGCUACAGUAUACAGG